ACGCUGGCGGCAGGCCUAACACAUGCAGGUCGAGCGGAUGAAGGGAGCUUGCUCCUGGAUUCAGCGGCGGACGGGUGAGUAAUGCCUAGGAAUCUGCCUGGUAGUGGGGGAUAACGUCCGGAAACGGGCGCUAAUACCGCAUACGUCCUGAGGGAGAAAGUGGGGGAUCUUCGGACCUCACGCUAUCAGAUGAGCCUAGGUCGGAUUAGCUAGUUGGUGGGGUAAAGGCCUACCAAGGCGACGAUCCGUAACUGGUCUGAGAGGAUGAUCAGUCACACUGGAACUGAGACACGGUCCAGACUCCUACGGGAGGCAGCAGUGGGGAAUAUUGGACAAUGGGCGAAAGCCUGAUCCAGCCAUGCCGCGUGUGUGAAGAAGGUCUUCGGAUUGUAAAGCACUUUAAGUUGGGAGGAAGGGCAGUAAGUUAAUACCUUGCUGUUUUGACGUUACCAACAGAAUAAGCACCGGCUAACUUCGUG
rnacentral:rRNA from 1 species